AUUGAACGCUGGCGGCAUGCCUUACACAUGCAAGUCGAACGGCAGCGGGCCCUUCGGGGUGCCGGCGAGUGGCGAACGGGUGAGUAAUGCAUCGGAACGUACCCGGGAGAGGGGGAUAACCGGCCGAAAGGCUGGCAAAUACCGCAUGAACUCGGAAGAGCAAAGCGGGGGACCUUCGGGCCUCGCGCUCUCGGAGCGGCCGAUGUCCGAUUAGGCUAGUUGGUGGGGUAAAGGCCCACCAAGGCGACGAUCGGUAGCGGGUCUGAGAGGACGAUCCGCCACACUGGGACUGAGACACGGCCCAGACUCCUACGGGAGGCAGCAGUGGGGAAUCUUGGACAAUGGGCGCAAGCCUGAUCCAGCAAUGCCGCGUGGGUGAAGAAGGCCUUCGGGUUGUAAAGCCCUUUCGGCGGGGAAGAAAUCGGUCAGGCGAAUAGUCUGGCCGGAUGACGGUACCCGCAGAAGAAGCACCGGCUAACUACGUG
rnacentral:rRNA from 1 species